rnacentral:rRNA from 1 species
CAGUAGCCGCGGUAAUACGUAGGUGGCAAGCGUUGUCCGGAAUUAUUGGGCGUAAAGGGCUCGCAGGCGGUUUCUUAAGUCUGAUGUGAAAGCCCCCGGCUCAACCGGGGAGGGUCAUUGGAAACUGGGAAACUUGAGUGCAGAAGAGGAGAGUGGAAUCCCACGUGUAGCGGUGAAAUGCGUAGAGAUGUGGAGGAACACCAGUGGCGAAGGCGACUCUCUGGUCUGUAACUGACGCUGAGGAGCGAAAGCGUGGGGAGCGAACAGGAUUAGAUACCCCUGUAGUCCCUGUCUCUUAUAC